GGAAACUGGGUCUAAUACCGGAUAUGACCUCCUAUCGCAUGGUGGGUGGUGGAAAGAUUUAUCGGUGCAGGAUGGGCCCGCGGCCUAUCAGCUUGUUGGUGGGGUAAUGGCCUACCAAGGCGACGACGGGUAGCCGACCUGAGAGGGUGACCGGCCACACUGGGACUGAGACACGGCCCAGACUCCUACGGGAGGCAGCAGUGGGGAAUAUUGCACAAUGGGCGAAAGCCUGAUGCAGCGACGCCGCGUGAGGGAUGACGGCCUUCGGGUUGUAAACCUCUUUCAGCAGGGACGAAGCGCAAGUGACGGUACCUGCAGAAGAAGCACCGGCUAACUACGUGCCAGCAGCCGCGGUAAUACGUAGGGUGCAAGCGUUGUCCGGAAUUACUGGGCGUAAAGAGUUCGUAGGCGGUUUGUCGCGUCGUUUGUGAAAACCAGCAGCUCAACUGCUGGCUUGCAGGCGAUACGGGCAGACUUGAGUACUGCAGGGGAGAAUUCCUGGUGUAGCGGUGUUUUGCGCAGAUAUCAGGAGGAACAGGGCGCGAAGGCGGGUCUCUGGGCAGUAACUGACGCUGAGGAACGAUUCGUGGGUAGCGAACAGGAUUAGAUACCCUGGUAGUCCAC
rnacentral:rRNA from 1 species